AAUAAACUAUGAAUUUUUUUAUUUUUUAUUUUUACAAAAAUUAGUUUUUCGCUUUUUAUAAUUUGUUUUCUAAUUUUGUAAUUCAUUUCUUUAUUAUCUGUUAUUUCGUGCGUAUAUUACUUACAGUUCGAUUAGUAGGAUUUUGUGACAUUCUGUUUCAAAUGUUCUAACAUUUGAAAUUUUGCAGGAUAGAUUACCAUUUGUAACUUUGCCAGCUUCACAGAAGUGUUGGAUUCUUUGGACGAGGAGCACGCAGAGAUAUUACGUCGAUCCUGCCUAUGGCCCCUGUAUUCGCUGCGCUUUGUACUGUUUUCUGGACAAUUGAUCGAUUCAUUACUAUGUCGAUUGCUUAAACCAGUUGAUGGAGAUGCCCUUCACUUUGAUCUUGGGGGCAAGAUUACUACAUUUUCCAUAUUCGAGUUUUCCUUCAUCACUAGAUUGAGAUGUACAGGCGAAGAGGUGGUGAGGGCCAAUAUCCGACAGACAAGGAGCUGUUGAAUGAUUAUUUUAAUGGUACACGACAGUGACACUGGUACAGUUAGGAGAUGCAUUCAGGGGAUGUGACCAGAUGUCCGACAAGUUGAAGUUGGAGACGGUGUUUAUUCUCGAGAGCGUACUAAGGUGUCAUCACAAGAAGACGUCGAUUGACGUUUUUCAUUUGCAAGUUGUUGAUGGCAUCGAUACGUUCAACGACUAUCCAUGGGGGCAGAGAUGUUUUGUCGAUACUUUAUGCGUCUUCAGGAGGGGGCAUUCGAUGCCUAGGGGAGACAAGCCGAAGCGUAAGUAUGAUAUAUAUGGCAUAUCGUUAGGUUUGCAGGUAAAUGUUUAACAUAAUGAGUUAUCUUUUUUUAUAUUAAAUUAUACAUUUAAUAAUCGUAAUUGUUUCAGAUAUGAGUCUACGAGACUGUCCACAUCCUGGCUGGUCAGUAUGCAAGGAGAGGGGAUACAUGCAUUCCUCGGAUGUACCGCUGGCGAGCACAAGACAAGUCCCUUGCAAAAUAGUUAUCGGCUAUCCUCGACGAUCCUGAUGU
rnacentral:lncRNA from 1 species